GUGGUAAUACCGGAUGCUCCGCUCCAUCGCAUGGUGGGGUGGGAAAUGCUUUUGCGGCAUGGGAUGGGGUCGCGUCCUAUCAGCUUGUUGGCGGGGUGAUGGCCCACCAAGGCGUUGACGGGUAGCCGGCCUGAGAGGGUGACCGGCCACAUUGGGACUGAGAUACGGCCCAGACUCCUACGGGAGGCAGCAGUGGGGAAUAUUGCACAAUGGGCGCAAGCCUGAUGCAGCGACGCCGCGUGCGGGAUGGAGGCCUUCGGGUUGUAAACCGCUUUUGUUCAAGGGCAAGGCACGGUUUCGGCCGUGUUGAGUGGAUUGUUCGAAUAAGCACCGGCUAACUACGUGCCAGCAGCCGCGGUAAUACGUAGGGUGCGAGCGUUAUCCGGAUUUAUUGGGCGUAAAGGGCUCGUAGGCGGUUCGUCGCGUCCGGUGUGAAAGUCCAUCGCCUAACGGUGGAUCUGCGCCGGGUACGGGCGGGCUGGAGUGCGGUAGGGGAGACUGGAAUUCCCGGUGUAACGGUGGAAUGUGUAGAUAUC
rnacentral:rRNA from 1 species